GACGAACGCUGGCGGCGUGCUUAACACAUGCAAGUCGAACGGAAAGGCCCUGCUUUUGUGGGGUGCUCGAGUGGCGAACGGGUGAGUAACACGUGAGUAACCUGCCCUUGACUUUGGGAUAACUUCAGGAAACUGGGGCUAAUACCGGAUAGGAGCUCCUGCUGCAUGGUGGGGGUUGGAAAGUUUCGGCGGUUGGGGAUGGACUCGCGGCUUAUCAGCUUGUUGGUGGGGUAGUGGCUUACCAAGGCUUUGACGGGUAGCCGGCCUGAGAGGGUGACCGGCCACAUUGGGACUGAGAUACGGCCCAGACUCCUACGGGAGGCAGCAGUGGGGAAUAUUGCACAAUGGGCGGAAGCCUGAUGCAGCAACGCCGCGUGCGGGAUGACGGCCUUCGGGUUGUAAACCGCUUUCGCCUGUGACGAAGCGUGAGUGACGGUAAUGGGUAAAGAAGCACCGGCUAACUACGUGCCAGCAGCCGCGGUGAUACGUAGGGUGCGAGCGUUGUCCGGAUUUAUUGGGCGUAAAGGGCUCGUAGGUGGUUGAUCGCGUCGGAAGUGUAAUCUUGGGGCUUAACCCUGAGCGUGCUUUCGAUACGGGUUGACUUGAGGAAGGUAGGGGAGAAUGGAAUUCCUGGUGGAGCGGUGGAAUGCGCAGAUAUCAGGAGGAACACCAGUGGCGAAGGCGGUUCUCUGGGCCUUUCCUGACGCUGAGGAGCGAAAGCGUGGGGAGCGAACAGGCUUAGAUACCCUGGUAGUCCACGCUGUAAACGGUGGGUACUAGGUGUGGGGUCCAUUCCACGGGUUCCGUGCCGUAGCUAACGCUUUAAGUACCCCGCCUGGGGAGUACGGCCGCAAGGCUAAAACUCAAAGGAAUUGACGGGGCCCCGCACAAGCGGCGGAGCAUGCGGAUUAAUUCGAUGCAACGCGUAGAACCUUACCUGGGUUUGACAUGGAUCGGAAGUGCUCAGAGAUGGGUGUGCCUCUUUUGGGGUCGGUUCACAGGUGGUGCAUGGCUGUCGUCAGCUCGUGUCGUGAGAUGUUGGGUUAAGUCCCGCAACGAGCGCAACCCUUGUUCACUGUUGCCAGCACGUUAUGGUGGGGACUCAGUGGAGACCGCCGGGGUCAACUCGGAGGAAGGUGGGGAUGAUGUCAAGUCAUCAUGCCCCUUAUGUCCAGGGCUUCACGCAUGCUACAAUGGCUGGUACAGAGAGUGGCGAGCCUGUGAGGGUGAGCGAAUCUCGGAAAGCCGGUCUCAGUUCGGAUUGGGGUCUGCAACUCGACCUCAUGAAGUCGGAGUCGCUAGUAAUCGCAGAUCAGCAACGCUGCGGUGAAUACGUUCCCGGG
rnacentral:rRNA from 1 species